GUUGUGCCUGAGUCGCAAUGUGAAACACCACUCUUUGUUAAUUAGGAUUCUAACCCUGAUUCCUGUUAGCCAGGCGGGGGACAGUGCGUGCGGGUCAGUUUGACUGGGGCGGUUUCCUCCCAAAUUGUAACGGAGGAGCGCUAAGCUUGGCUCAGUACGGUUGGCAACCGUGCGUCGAGCGUAUGGGUAGAAGCCAGGUUAACUGCGAGACCUACAAGUCGAGCAGAUGCGAAAGCAGGCCCAAAUGAUCCGAUGGUUGAAUGUGGAAUUGCCAUCGCUCAACGGACAAAAGGUACGCUAGGGAU
rnacentral:rRNA from 1 species